AUCAGCCUCAGACAUCUGCAUGAGCUGCAUCUGGGAGAGCUAUGUUUCUGAAUAUUGGUCUACCAUGUAUCAUAUAUGAAUGUACAUUAGUCAAAGGUCACUCACCAUCACCAAGAUGGAACUUUAGUGCUAUCUCUCAUGUCAUUGCUGUUUCAAAAACUUCAGACUCAGGAUCAGGAAUCAGGAAUCAGAAGAAAAUAUUAAUGAUAACUUCAUCCUCAAGCACAAUGGACAAAGCUAUAGAUGUACCUAAUGCUUCAGCAAAAAUGCCAACAACGUGCCACUGUGGAUGAGAGCUGUAUUUUCUAAAAAUAAAACAGUCACUUUUGAAGUUAAAAUAAUAUCCAUUUUAAAAAUCAAGAUGAAUACCAGAAAACCCUUUGAAGUAUGUAAAGAGAAAAAAAAAAAACAAAACAAUCUUGACAUCUAUGGUUCUUCAUUGUUCAGGACACAGCUGAAGUAUUACCUUUCCCAAGAGAUCUUACAUGACAAUAACCACCCCUGUCCUAUGUUUUGGUAUCAAGAUGAAGCUGACCUCAUAGAAUGAGUUGAAGAGUAGUCCCUCCUCCUCACUUUCUUGGAAUGGUUUCUGUAGGAAUGGAACCAGCUCUUCUUUGUACAUCUGGUAGAAUUUGGCUGUGACUCCAUCAGGUCCUGGGCUUUUUUUUC